UGCAUGCUGGCCUAAGUAGUUAGAGUGUCUGCCUCUGAUGCAGGAAGUUGUGGGUUUGAACCCCAGUCAUGUCA